rnacentral:tRNA from 1 species
GCAUGUAGCUUGGUGGUACAGUGCUUGCCUAGCAUGUAGGAGGCCCUGGUUCAAUUCUUAGCAUCA